rnacentral:rRNA from 1 species
CCUACGGGGGGCUGCAGUGGGGAAUAUUGGACAAUGGACCGAGAGUCUGAUCCAGCAAUUCUGUGUGCACGAUGAAGUUUUUCGGAAUGUAAAGUGCUUUCAGUUGGGAAGAAAAAAAUGACGGUACCAACAGAAGAAGUGACGGCUAAAUACGUGCCAGCAGCCGCGGUAAUACGUAUGUCACGAGCGUUAUCCGGAUUUAUUGGGCGUAAAGCGCGUCUAGGUGGUUAUGUAAGUCUGAUGUGAAAAUGCAGGGCUCAACUCUGUAUUGCGUUGGAAGCUGUGUAACUAGAGUACUGGAGAGGUAAGCGGAACUACAAGUGUAGAGGUGAAAUUCGUAGAUAUUUGUAGGAAUGCCGAUGGGGAAGCCAGCUUACUGGACAGAUACUGACGCUAAAGCGCGAAAGCGUGGGUAGCAAACAGGAUUAGAUACCCGAGUAGUC